rnacentral:rRNA from 1 species
UUGCGCCCGAAGCCCUCGUGGCCAGGGCAUGUCUGUCUAGGCAUCACGC